UAAUGAUUAGACUUGGAAAACCAAAAACUUAGCUAGCCCUGAUGAUGAUAAUAAAAGUUAUCGAAACUGUCGGCAACUAAAUAAAUUGGUUUUUGUCAUCUUCAGACCUUAAACCCAUUAAAAACUCAACUUAUAUU